CAGAGUAUAUCUUUGCUCGACCUUCCUUCUUCCUCCCCACUUCACUCAGCAACCCAGAAAAUAAAAAACCAGAGACCCCAUUUUCUCAGCCAAAACCCUCGCCUCCACCACCUUCUCCCCACCCUAUCUCCCUCAUUUCUCAACCAUUUCAGCCCAUUUUUUUUUAAAAAUCCUCCAUUUUCGAUACUUAAUAACAUACACCUAAAAAGUUUUGAUUUUUUAGCCUCUAAAAGUGUCAUCCGAACCCAAAUAGUAAAUUUUGGGUGUGAAAUCCGGCCACCCAUUUUUGUUGAGAAAUUGUUCAAUCUCAACCUCGUUUAAGUGUCGGGAUUUUUUACGGUGGUCGUCGGAUUGCGGUUAUUAGGGGUUCGGCAUAAUUUUGUGUGUAGCGUAUUUGGGCUUGCAAUUAUAGACAUGGCGAACUCAGAAUCAGGAUCUGAUUCGGGAGCAGAAAAUGAGUGUCCAACCACAAUACCUACACGAGGGCCGACGCAAAUGAAUGAAAUAUCCAAACUAAUGGAUCAGGGCAAAAGAGUGGCCCUCGAAGUUAAUGAUAA